GCUGAGGAUAUAGCUUAGUUGGUAGAAUGCUUGUCUCACAUGAACAAGGCCCUGGGUUCAUUCCCCAGCAGCA
rnacentral:tRNA from 1 species